AUGAAGUCGUUAUCUUUGCAUGUGAACAAAAUAUGGGCAUGUUCGAGAUGAAUCAUCAUGGUGUUCUUUCGGUGUGACCACCAAAUUAUUUUAAUAACACCAUUUAAUUAGUCUUCCACCUUCUCUAACCAUAUGAGCAUUAGCCGUUUCAGGUUUUUCUUUUCUUCUUAAUUAGGUUUAUGGCAAUUAUUUGCCAAAACCUUGCCGCUGCGGUUAGAAUGGAAUCUGAAAUACAAUCAAUAGCUAUCAGCAUCAAGGUUAUAAUAAGUGUGAGGAACAUCAUACUUUAGGACUAUGAAAUAACAUAAUAAUCAUGGAAUGAGAUCCGUUGAGAUUCUAAAGUUAUCAAGACGAGGAGGAAACAUGGAAGAAUAUCAUCCCGACGCAGCGCAUUGGAUUCUCCCUUAUAUUUCUCAUGUGACUUGUCUCUUCUUGUAGUCACACUAACAAAAAUUCGUUUUUUUUUUUACAAGACUUGGGUUCACCCCUUAUGGUGAAUCUUCAAAUUCACCACUUUUCUAAUAACCAAUCAAAGUGUCAACUAAAUUAAUGAUUAAAAAUAUUAAA